rnacentral:rRNA from 1 species
GAGUUUGAUCUUGGCUCAGAUUGAACGCUGGCGGCAGGCCUAACACAUGCAAGUCGAGCGGAUGAAGAGAGCUUGCUCUCUGAUUCAGCGGCGGACGGGUGAGUAAUGCCUAGGAAUCUGCCUGGUAGUGGGGGACAACGUUUCGAAAGGAACGCUAAUACCGCAUACGUCCUACGGGAGAAAGCAGGGGACCUUCGGGCCUUGCGCUAUCAGAUGAGCCUAGGUCGGAUUAGCUAGUAGGUGAGGUAAUGGCUCACCUAGGCGACGAUCCGUAACUGGUCUGAGAGGAUGAUCAGUCACACUGGAACUGAGACACGGUCCAGACUCCUACGGGAGGCAGCAGUGGGGAAUAUUGGACAAUGGGCGAAAGCCUGAUCCAGCCAUGCCGCGUGUGUGAAGAAGGUCUUCGGAUUGUAAAGCACUUUAAGUUGGGAGGAAGGGCAGUAAGUUAAUACCUUGCUGUUUUGACGUUACCAACAGAAUAAGCACCGGCUAACUUCGUGCCA